rnacentral:ncRNA from 2 species
GAUCGUUCUCGGGGCGGGGUGAAAGUCCCCACCGGCGGUAAGGGAGCCUCUCCCAAGCCCGCGAGCGCCCGCGGCCACAGGCCAUCGCCAUUGUCUCCAUCGGCGGUCCGGUCUGCCUCAUGGUCACGGGGUCAGCAGAUCUGGUGUGAUUCCAGAGCCGACGGUGAUAGUCCGGAUAAGAGAGAACGGGA